UACGGAGGGUGCAAGCGUUGUCCGGAAUCACUGGGCGUAAAGGGCGCGUAGGCGGCUCAUGAAGGCUGUGGUGAAAGUCCGGGGCUCAACCUCGGAUCGGCCGUGGCGACUCGUGGGCUGGAGCACUGUAGAGGCGGGUGGAAUUCCGGGUGUAGCGGUGGAAUGCGUAGAGAUCCGGAAGAACACCAGUGGCGAAGGCGGCCCGCUGGGCAGUGGCUGACGCUGAGGCGCGACAGCGUGGGGAG
rnacentral:rRNA from 1 species